CUGCAAACUUGCUCAACCUCAAAUUCUUUCCUGCAAUGCAGUUAGGAAUUCUGUCUUCCCCUAAGUUGAGGUCUCUAAAAAGAACUUCAUGGGCUGCUGGAGUUUCAUGACUUGAAGGCCUAAAACCAAAGGACAGCAAGACCCUCUAAAAGCAUAGAGCCUGCCUGAGGCAGGGGCCUCUCCUACCUAACACAACCUAAUUGGCCAGAUGAUGUAGUCCUGAGAUCACAAUCACUCCAUAUUACAAAUGAGUAAAGUGUAAGUUGACUUGGGAAGCUCUGGAUGCCAUAGCUGUUGAGAAUCAUUCCACAGCGUUACAAAGCCAAUUGUCCUGCAAGACCACAAUGCCUGGUUCAGUGCGGAUGGAGAAGGUGGAGAAUGUGCUGCAGGCAGAGGAGAACUGUUCUAUGUCCCUCCUGAUGGUCCUGCACCACAGUACUGCAUUACAGUAGGAGGCGUGGGACAGACAUAUGUGGAUUUGGGGAAGCUUUACACAUCAGAAUCAGAACCGGGAAAAGGCUGAGGGAGCAUCCAGGACCACCAUCUCCAACCAUUUUUCUUUAAAUCUUAAAAGCUUGUGAUUUCUUUAAAAACUAAGUCAAAUGUCUUCAAGCAAGGCAUGAGUACUAACAUCUUGGUCAAGGUUAAGGCAGAGUGGGAUGGAAAUGAAAGGCCCCUGAAAUGUUCCAGAACUGACCCCAUCUCUCACCCCCCCUCCCCGCUUCCCUUCCCCCUCCCCCACAGCCUCCUCCUCUUCCUUUUCAUUUACUGGCUAUCAUGAAUCUUUUGAAGCUCACAGACUCCGUUGCUAUGCCAGAUGCACAGUACCUUCCAGGGGUAUCUCCAUGUACUCAUUUGUAGAAUCAGGAAGAAGGAGAGACUGGCCUUGGGCCUUAAGCUUGAGUGAGCCCCAAUUUUCUUCACUGACAAGGCUUUUCAUCAGGCCCUGGCAACAACCUAAGAAAGAUCUGUCUCUGUUUUGAUAUCAUUAAAAAUCCAUUCAUCAACCCAUCACCAGGCAAUCCACCAGCAAAUCAAAUCAAGCCAACAGUGGAGCAAAGGAGAGGAAUCUUGUCAUCUCUCAGCCUUCAUCCAGGAGCACCUUCCCUCUGUUCCCUCAUCAACUGAGGAGCCAUGGACUCUCCAUUCCUUUUGUGCCUUUUGCUAAGCCCGGAGCACAUGUUCAUCAGAACCUCUUCUCUCAUUUGCUUUAUCUUAUCUAACUCCAGUGAUUUAAGCAAUGAUAGAAUACACCAUGCAAGAAAGCCUGGAAGGCCAUCGUUGGCAGAGGGCACAAUCUCAGAUACCAGUUAAACACAUCCAAAGAGGGUCAUCAAAUCCUAGAAGGAAAACCUUGGGGAAAAUUUUUGAAAUGAGUAUUAUAUUGUUUCUGAAAAUUCAAUAAUAUAAGGGAAUGGAAUAGUUUAGAGAUUACUUGGAUCUUUUGUGUUUGUUUUACAUGAAAUAUUUUAAAUACACAGUUGACUAUAUAUAUUAAGAAGAUACGAAACAAAAUAAUGAGAAAACUCAGCUUAAGUAAUACAGAAUCUGCUUUUGAAGCAGAGGCAGGCAGAUCUCUGAGUUUUAACCCAGCCUGGUCUACAU